rnacentral:ncRNA from 2 species
GACAACCGCGCGGGAGAGUGCGUUGCCGGGUGACCGGAAACGCCGCCGAAGGAGCAACCGCCCCGGAAUCUCUCAGGCAGACCGGACCGCGCGGGUUUU